UAAAUGGAUGCGAUGACGAUCGGCUGGU
rnacentral:sRNA from 1 species